UACGUAGGCAGCAAGCGUUGUUCGGAAUUACUGGGCGUAAAGAGUGUGUAGGCGGUGCUCUAAGUUCGGUGUGAAAUCUCCCGGCUCAACUGGGAGGGUGCGCCGGAAACUGGAGUGCUGGAGCGCGGGAGAGGAAAGCGGAAUUCCUGGUGUAGCGGUGAAAUGCGUAGAUAUCAGGAGGAACACCGGCGGUGUAGACGGCUUUCUGGACCGUAGCUGACGCUGAGACACGAAAGCGUGGGUAGCAAACAGA
rnacentral:rRNA from 1 species